rnacentral:rRNA from 1 species
UACAGAGGGUGCGAGCGUUAAUCGGAAUUACUGGGCGUAAAGCGCACGUAGGCGGAUCUUUAAGUCAGGGGUGAGAUCCUGGAGCUCAACUCCAGAACUGCCUCUGAUACUGGGGAUCUUGAGUCCGGAAGAGGUAAGUGGAACUGCGAGUGUAGAGGUGAAAUUCGUAGAUAUUCGCAAGAACACCAGUGGCGAAGGCGGCUUACUGGUCCGGUACUGACGCUGAGGUGCGAAAGCGUGGGGAGCAAACAGG